AUCUAUGGCCAUACCACCCUGAAAGCACCCCAUCUUGUCUGAUCUCGGAAGCUAAGCAGAGUCGGGCCUGAUUAGUACUUGGAUGGGAGACCGUCUGGGAAUACUGGGUGCUGUAGGCU
ensembl:rRNA 5S_rRNA 5S ribosomal RNA